rnacentral:rRNA from 1 species
UACGGAGGGGGCUAGUGUUGUUCGGCAUUACUGGGCGUAAAGCGCGCGUAGGCGGACCUGCAAGUCGGGGGUGAAAGCCCGAGGCUCAACCUCGGAACUGCCUUCGAUACUGCGGGUCUCGAGUCCGGGAGAGGUGAGUGGAAUUCCUAGUGUAGAGGUGAAAUUCGUAGAUAUUAGGAAGAACACCAGUGGCGAAGGCGGCUCACUGGCCCGGUACUGACGCUGAGGCGCGAAAGCGUGUCGAGGAAACAGG